CUGUGCUAUAAAAUUGGCCGCUGCAUGUUUCCUAUACGUAGGAAUCUGCAUGGUCUGUACAUAUACAGUUUACAGUGUACAGGUAUGCAUUAGGCAACAGCCUCCUACUGUCUUUCAUUUAGGCAGUAGCAAACGGUUUUUUUCCAAUGACAUUGGCAUGCAGACAAUUACAAGCCCCACCCCUGUUUUAGAUCAGGGGAAAACCUGACUCAUAAUUAUUAUCUGGCCAGCCAGCAUAGCACAACAUGUCUAACUUGCUCCACUAUAUUGGCAGAUGAUUCCCCGUCUAAGAUAAGCGACAGUUACAUCGUUGCUUUCAAAGAUGAGCUCACAGCUGAACAAGUUUCUGCGGCAAAUGGAAGCUGUCAGAGAGAUAUUCCGCACAGCAGGGGGGAAGAAUAGUGUCAGCGCAGAGUUCAGCUUUAAAGCCUUCUCUGCUAUCAUGGAUCCUGAGUAAGCGUUUGGGAUAUUGAACGUUUAUUUUCCCACUCCCUCCCUCUUUCUUUGACACAGUCACUCCUCCCCUCACAUGCACAGCAAAGAACAGGGUGUCCCUGCAUGGUUGAGUAGCUAUAAUUAAGCUGAUUGAAUUUAGAAAUGCAGCCCAUAAUAAUGGAGCAAGAGGAAUCUUUAGUAUGGUCCUAUCUAGUCUCCUUCACAGGCCUUGGAUUGAAGAGUAGCCUGGGAUUGAGGCUAGGUCCUAUUAAGACCUCUAACAGAACAUGAACAAUGUCUCAAGAAAAGCACAAACAAUCCACAGGACCAAACUUAGCCUCGAGACCCCAGGCCGAUCCGUCUCCAAUUGAACGCUAGGUUGCCUACUAGUAUUUUUCAACUUCGUUCUAUUAAAAAAAAAUUAUAGCAUAAAUUAUAGCUAGCUAGCACUUCAAUUCUGUACAACACCAUAAUGAUUAUGUUAUAGUUAUAACGCGGG